rnacentral:rRNA from 1 species
UACGAGGGGUGCUAGCGUUAUUCAGAAUUACUGGGCGUAAAGGGUGUGUAGACGGUAUGUUAAGUUGGCUGUUAAAUUCUUCGGCUUAACCGGAGAAAUGCGGCUGAAACUGGCGUACUUGAGGGUGGAAGAGAGAAGUGGAAUUCUCGGAGUAGCGGUAAAAUGCGUAGAUCUCGAGAGGAACACCGAUGGCGAAGGCAGCUUCUUGGUCCACUCCUGACGUUGAAACACGAAAGCGUGGGGAGCAAACAGGAUUAGAUACCCCCGUA